AUAGAAGGUAGAGGCGCGGGUCUUAAGAGUAACUGGAGCAAGGGUUAAAGCAUCCCCAGUGAAAGGAUUAUCCGCCGAAGCGUAAGAUUUGCUUUAGGGUCUUAUUGCUGGGUGUACAUAUAAUAUGUGUGCAACUGUCACGGGAAACUGUGUUGAGCUAUCAUUUGA
rfam:Peptostreptococcus anaerobius CAG:621 genomic scaffold, scf141